AUAGUAUAUAUAUACUACUGUAGUAUUAUAAAUAAUAUAGUAUAUAUAAUAUAUAAGUAUUAUAAGUAUAUUAAUACAUAUAAUAAAAUACAAUUUAUAAACAUAAAACAAAUAAUAUAAAAUAAUAUAACAUACAAUAAAAUAAUGAUAACUGCGUUAACAUCAGGAUAAUUCACAAACCGCAGUACAAAGCAGUGAAUAAAGCAAAGAGUUCAGAAUGAUUUCUGUCAGCGCGGUGCUGAGGCAGCCCCUCCCCGCAGGCCUGGGCGUGGAAGGAGAACAUUCUGGAAGCGGGGACGCUGGAGCGCUACACGGUGGAGAGGAGCAACACGGGCAGCGGCGUCCUGUCCACGCUGACCAUCAACAACGUCAUGGACGCCGACUUCCAGACGCGCUACAACUGCACGGCCUGGAACAGCUUCGGGCCCGGCACGGCCAUCAUCCAGCUCGAGGAGAGAGAGGUGCUGCCCGUGGGCAUCAUCGCCGGCGCCACCAUCGGCGCCAGCGUCCUCCUCAUCAGCUGCCUGCUGGCCCUGGCCUGCUUCCUCUACCGGCGCCGCAAAGGAAGCCGCAAGGACGUCACGCUGCGCAAGCUGGACAUCAAGGUGGAGACGGUGAACCGGGAGCCGCUGACGCUGGC
rnacentral:lncRNA from 1 species